GCCCCUAUAGUUUAACGGUAGAAUACGGUACUAGUACAUAGUAUGCCAUACUGAGGAGGUAGUUCGAUUCUGCCUGGGGGCA